AUCCAGAUGACGAAUCCCAAAUAGAACGAAACGCGCAUCCUGGAU
rnacentral:hammerhead_ribozyme from 1 species